UGUGUAGGCGGUUUUCUAAGUUUGGUGUGAAAUCUCCCGGCUUAACCGGGAGGGUGCGCCGAAAACUGGGAGACUAGAGUGCGGGAUGGGAGAGUAGAAUUCCUGGUGUAGCGGUGAAAUGCGUAGAUAUCAGGAGGAAUACCGGUGGUGUAGACGGCUCUCUGGACCGCCACUGACGCUGAGACACGAAAGCGUGGGUGAAAC
rnacentral:rRNA from 1 species